rnacentral:rRNA from 1 species
CCUACGGGAGGCAGCAGUGGGGAAUAUUGGGCAAUGGGCGCAAGCCUGACCCAGCAACGCCGCGUGAAGGAAGAAGGCCCUCGGGUUGUAAACUUCUUUUGUCAGGGACGAAGAAAGUGACGGUACCUGACGAAUAAGCCACGGCUAACUACGUGCCAGCAGCAGCGGUAAUACGUAGGUGGCAAGCGUUAUGCGGAUUUACUGGGUGUAAAGGGCGUGUAGGCGGGACUGCAAGUCAGAUGUGAAAUUCCAGGGCUCAACCCUGGAACUGCAUUUGAAACUGUAGUUCUUGAGUGAUGGAGAGGCAGGCGGAAUUCCUGGUGUAGCGGUGAAAUGCGUAGAUAUUAGGAGGAACACCAGUGGCGAAGGCGAUUUGCUAGACUGUAACUGACACUGAUGCACGAAAGCGUGGGGAGCAAACAGGAUUAGAUACCCUUGUAGUC